AAUAGAUACCCCGGUAGUCCACGCCGUAAACGGUGGGCACUAGGUGUGGGCGACAUUCCACGUCGUCCGUGCCGCAGCUAACGCAUUAAGUGCCCCGCCUGGGGAGUACGGCCGCAAGGCUAAAACUCAAAGGAAUUGACGGGGGCCCGCACAAGCGGCGGAGCAUGUGGCUUAAUUCGACGCAACGCGAAGAACCUUACCAAGGCUUGACAUACACCGGAAACGUCCAGAGAUGGGCGCCCCCGUUGUGGUCGGUGUACAGGUGGUGCAUGGCCGUCGUCAGCUCGUGUCGUGAGAUGUUGGGUUAAGUCCCGCAACGAGCGCAACCCUUGUCCCGUGUUGCCAGCAGGCCCUUGUGGUGCUGGGGACUCACGGGGAGACCGCCGGGGUCAACUCGGAGGAAGGUGGGGACGACGUCAAGUCAUCAUGCCCCUUAUGUCUUGGGCUGCACACGUGCUACAAUGGCCGGUACAAUGAGCUGCGAUACCGCGAGGUGGAGCGAAUCUCGAAAAAGCCGGUCUCAGUUCGGAUUGGGGUCUGCAACUCGACCCC
rnacentral:rRNA from 1 species